UCCGUAGGUGAACCUGCGGAAGGAUCAUUAUUGAAAUAAACCUGAUGGGUUGUUGCUGGCUCUCUAGGGAGCAUGUGCACGCCUUGUCAUCUUUAUAUCUCCACCUGUGCACUUUUUGUAGACCUGAAAAGGUCUAUGUUGCUUCAUUUUACCCCAAUGUAUGUCUAUAGAAUGUUGUGCCUAUGAUAAUAUAUACAACUUUCAGCAACGGAUCUCUUGGCUCUCGCAUCGAUGAAGAACGCAGCGAAAUGCGAUAAGUAAUGUGAAUUGCAGAAUUCAGUGAAUCAUCGAAUCUUUGAACGCACCUUGCGCUCCUUGGUAUUCCGAGGAGCAUGCCUGUUUGAGUGUCAUUAAUAUAAUCAACCUUCAACUUGUUUGAGUGGUUUGGAUGUGGGGGUUUGCUGGCCUUUCAAAAGGUUUCAGCUCCUCUGAAAUGCAUUAGCAGAACAAACCUUGUUCAUUGGUGUGAUAACUAUCUACGCUUAUGAAUGUGAGGGGCAGUUCAGCUUUCUAAUCGUCUUUGGACAAUUCAUCAUUAAUGUGACCUCAAAUCAGGUAGGACUACCCGCUGAACUUAAGCAUAUC
rnacentral:rRNA from 1 species